rnacentral:rRNA from 1 species
GCGGUGGAGCAUGUGGUUUAAUUCGACGCAACGCGAAGAACCUUACCAGGGCUUGACAUCCCCUGACCGCGUAUGAAAGUACGUUUUCACCCUCGGGUGACAGGGAGACAGGUGGUGCAUGGUUGUCGUCAGCUCGUGUCGUGAGAUGUUGGGUUAAGUCCCGCAACGAGCGCAACCCUCGACCUUAGUUGCCAGCAUUCAGUUGGGCACUCUAAGGUGACUGCCGGCUAAAAGUCGGAGGAAGGUGGGGAUGACGUCAAAUCAUCAUGCCCCUUAUGACCUGGGCUACACACGUGCUACAAUGGGCGGUACAAAGGGUCGCGAACCCGCGAGGGGGAGCCAAUCCCAAAAAGCCGCUCUCAGUUCGGAUUGCAGGCUGCAACUCGCCUGCAUGAAGCCGGAAUCGCUAGUAAUCGCGGAUCAGCAUGCCGCGGUGAAUACGUUCCCGGGCCUU